rnacentral:rRNA from 1 species
UACGUAGGGGCCUAGCGUUGUCCGGAUUUAUUGGGCGUAAAGAGCUCGUAGGCGGUUUGGUGAGUCGGGUGUGAAAUCUCCACGCUCAACGUGGAGGGGCCACCCGAUACUGCCAUGACUAGAGUCCGGUAGGGGAGUGUGGAAUUCCCGGUGUAGCGGUGAAAUGCGCAGAUAUCAGGAGGAACACCUAUUGCGAAGGCAGCUCGCUGGGACGUUACUGACGCUGAGACGCGAAAGCGUGGGGAGCAAACAGG